UACGGGGGGGGUAAGCGUUGUUCGGAAUUACUGGGCGUAAAGGGCUCGUAGGCGGCCAACUAAGUCAGACGUGAAAUCCCUCAGCUUAACUGGGGAACUGCGUCUGAUACUGGAUGGCUUGGAUUCGGGAGAGGAAUGCGGAAUUCCAGGUGUAGCGGUGAAAUGCGUAGAUAUCUGGAGGAACACCGGUGGCGAAGGCGGCAUCCUGGACCGGUAUUGACGCUGAUGGCGCGAAAGCCAGGGGAGCAAACGGG
rnacentral:rRNA from 1 species